rnacentral:lncRNA from 12 species
GAAUUAAGGCAUUUUAGAGUUAGAAAGUCCAUAGACUUAUUAUGUUCUCCAAUGAUGGCUAAUCACAGCAAGGUGCAGGUAACUGGUCAUGAGAUCUGGAGAGGCUGUAUCACCAUGGCUGAGAUCGCGCCCUACUGGGUAUGAGGUAAGAGACCUGUCUGAAAAAAUGGGCUCCAGAAUUCAAGGACGUCAUCUGGAAAUAGGAAGAGAAGGUGAAUGAGGGCAGUGGAGCAGUUAUUCAAGGUCCACUCCAGAUUUAGCAUGGAGUCUGAAAUGGGGAAAAUGAGAAUUGCUCUCAAAUCCAGCUGCAAUCAAUCAUCUUGGAAAAUACUCUCGUCCCUGAAUGACACCACUGCGCCCAUUAAUACUGCAAGAGAGUACACCUCCUCAUGCCCUCACCCACAGGGUUCCACGUAGGUUUUGGACCAUUGACAAUACUACAGGUAUGAAUUGGUACUUAAUGGAGUUUUAAUUCACCCUUCUUUUAUUACAUGGGUGGAUGACAUUUUUAUAGGUA